ACAGACAAUCAGGCAUUUACAAAUUUGUUCACCCCAAAGAUUGGAUCUUUUAGUAUUGUGUUUCAGUGAUUGGCACAUACACAUACAAACAUGACAGCAACUAAUACUCAUGGAUGGUUGGCUGUUGCAAAUGACAAUCCGGAAAGAGAGAGCAGGCUCCACUUCUAAUUUCUGCAGGGAAUUUCAAACAUAGAGCAAAUAGAUUAAUUUCAUACAAACUGGAUUAAAAGGUCAAGAUGACCUCUAUGAUUUAAGAGUAAAACCACAUAUAUCAAGUCACUUGUCCGAAGGUAUCUAAAGUUAUCAAAGCCUAGCUAGAUAAAACAUGUUGAAAACUUGAACCUAUGCUAUCACCGAAACAAAAUUUCAAGGAGUUCAAAUCAGGAAAAAGCAAGCAUAGUUGAGCGAUCAGUCUUUCUAUUCGGCCAGGCUAUCAUAAUUCGAGCUUCUGCCAAUAUAUGGAUGUUAAUGGAGAAGCACAAGUCAGAUAUGAAGUGCUUCCAUGUAAUGAAGGAAAGAACUUUGUUUUUAAGAAGAUGCCACCAAAAGUAACUGAUAAUUCUUUCGCACCAGACCAUGUAAGAGUUGCCCUUGCAAACCUGUACUAAUUGUGAAUGUGGAAAAACGUUCUAAAAUAUCAAAGAGAAGGCACAUCAAUAACCUCUCCUUUAUCUUCUACAAGAAAAUGCCAGCUGGAAAGAGCUUAUGUCAUGCAUGCAGCAAGCUAGAUUCUUUUAGCUUCAUGGUUUUUGCACGCAGCCUUACCAUGAAUGCAGGAUUUGCUUUGAGUCUCUGCUUCACAUAUGAAGUUCG
rnacentral:lncRNA from 1 species